rnacentral:tmRNA from 1 species
GGGGACGUUACGGAUUCGACAGGGGUAGAUCGAGCUUAGGCUGCGAGCCGAGUCGGCGAACUCGUCAAAACGCCACGCCAAUAAUAACUGGCAAAUCUAAUCAAUCUUACGCUUUAGCUGCCUAAUAGGCCUUAAGCGGCUCCUCCCUCCAUCGCCCGUGUGGUAGGGUCAGGGGUUCAUCUUAGCGGGAUACGCCGGUUGCCCGCCGUCUGAGGGCGAAGGAAGAGACUAAUCAGACUAGCGUUCACAAAGCCUGUCGAUAGGCCGAGUGGACUUGCGAAAUUGCAAUAUAUCGACUACGCUCGUAGACGCUUAAGUGGCGAUACCUCUGGACGUGGGUUCGAUUCCCACCGUCUCCACCA